rnacentral:lncRNA from 11 species
UUAUGUUUUGUGCAGUAGUUGUUGCUUCCGUGUCCACUUCUGACACUGUUUUCAGGAUCCCUUUGAAGUAGUUUCUUGGGUUUGCACUAGGAACCUAUUCCUCAGCUGCUCGUUUCAUCAUAAAGAGGAACAAAUGUGCUUUAAGAUACCAGUUGCCCUUAAUAAUGAAGCUAUAUCUAUAGACAAGAGAAUUCUUUCUCCACUGACUCUUCAUCCGCUUUCUUUUUUUUUCAGGCUCUCUACAAAUCAUCCUCAGACACAAUGGAAACUAUGCUGAGGGGAUUGUUGUCUGAGGUUCCAACCACAAGCCACCUACUAUUUAUAUUGGAGCACAUCAAUUUCUGGAUUCAUUCACACGAUGUCCAAGAGAGAUCGAGGGCUAUUAAAUGCAGCACUUCAUUGCUUCGCCAUGCUAUUCGUAUACCAGAUUUUGAAAAAUCUGGUGAACUCCCUGCUUUGGGACACCAAGUUGCCCAGUUUGGAGUCUGUAUUUCAGAUUCAAUGGAAGAGGUGAGCUAUUCUGCCAGAGAGGCUAUUAGGUACCUAUAUCUGCUGCUACUUCAUCAAAUGGGGCUGAGCACGGGGGAAACUGGAAAACUGUGGUGCCAGACGCCAGAAAAUAAGAAGAUGCUGGAUUAUCUAGACAUCCGCAGAGUGGGUGAGUUAUUUGGGAAGAUCUUCACAGAGGAUCAGAAGAAGACCUUUCUGCGGACGUCUUUGCUGGCCACAUAUGAUCCCUUGAGGAGGAAAAGUGAAGCUGGGAUUCUCCUGGUAUAUUCCCUUCUGGGGAAGGCAGAGGAGUUAAUGGGGGAUACGUCAAGGGUAAUAGAAAAGAAGAUCUACAAGCAGCUGUUCAAACUUCGGACGCUCCGGGAAAUGCCAGUAGCCUUGCAAAGCCUCAUUCCAAAUAAAGGUGAUGGGAUACUAGAGGAUAAAAAGAACUAAAACACCCAUGGCAGUAUCACUUCAGGCAGGAAAACAAAGGCAACAGGAAGCAAUGGUUAGCUGUGUGUUUCUCUCUCACCUCUGGCCUCUUUCCUGGAAAUGUCUCUUCCUCCCAUCCACUGUAACCGAAUGGCAGAACGCAUCACAAACAAGAAAAUGUGAUAUGGUCUACCUGCAACCCAUUUUGUGUGGCAUUUCAGAGCAUCACUCUUUAUAAAAAGACAAUUUACAGCAUCACACAGUGGAGUAACCGGGUACGAUACCAACAGAGGGAAGCUACCAAGGGGCACAUUCACUUGACACAGCUAUACAGUGAUCUUAGGGGCCAGAAUCGAUACAAAAUCCUUUUUACUUACAUGUAAUUAAAUGGUCACAGUGAUUUCUUCCUCCUCUAGUUAAAUUGCAACUUUCUUCUGUUAACUGUUUUUUAAUGGCAGCUUUUAUCUUGGUAUUUUUUUUUAUAAGCCACAUUGUAUUACUUUGCAAAACUAGCUGAUUGAAAAACAGGUCAUAAUAUAACAAAAGGAAAAAUGCAUAUGUAAAAAAAAUGGAAAAUUGAAAAAAAGAAAAAGAUAUCUAGAACUAAGUUGCUGUUUCUUCACAAUUCUUUCAUGACUCCUAGAAAGGUCGAAUUUAAACUAUGGACCGCGGUUAAAGGAGGGUCCUGUCUGGCAAGCAUUUACAGUAACAAAGUUUCAGAUUAAAGAACAGACUCACUAGAUGUAGACAGCCAGAGAGGUUUAAUUACAAUCUGGCCAAAAAUACAAACAUGAAAUACAGAGAAAUAGGGUUUUAUACAGUAUUCAACUCUUCCCCCUCUGCCCACUCUCUUUCCUGAUUGGCCAGCAGAGGAGUUGGCCUGAAGCAGCAUCUAGAUUAGCUGUGGUGACAUUGCCGCCUCCAGGAAGUUCAUAUCCAUAUUUGGAGAGCUUAGUGGGCUUUCUGGCUAGCGUAAUAGUCCAGCUUUGGGUGAUUAAGCAUCUGGAUCCCUGAAACAAAGGGAUCUGAAACAAAGAGUUGGAUGUAUAUUGUGAGAUUCUGGUGAUGAGAGAAUUUCAUGAGAAAACCAAGGAUGCAGGCUUUCAAGACAAAAGGUAAUCAAGCUUUCUGUAAUCAAGCUUUGAAUGUCAAAUGAAGGAAUCCAAUGUAUGCACAUACUUUGGUUUUCCCUGUCUCUGGCCAGCCCACUCUCAGCUCAGUUGAGAUCAUCGGGGGUAAGUACUAGCCCAGCAAUAUCAGAUCGAGAUCGGAAACCUCCUGCUGAGCUUUGCACACACAUACAAUGAGGCUUUGACUGUCACCUUUUCCCAAGAGAUUAACCCAACCCAAGUAUCCAGGAAAUUCCUCAGUGGGGUCAACAGGGAGCUGAUGACCCUAUGGCAGUCUCUAGCAGCCUUUGAGGGAGGUUUGCUGAUGCUGGUCUAUCGCAAGGGUCACAUAGACCUCGCAGGAAACGGAAAAGAAAUUAUUUUAUUUAGGUGUCCAAUAAAUCUCUAGGGUGGGGGGGGGGGGUGUUGUUCAACAACACUAAUAGGCAGCAAAGUUUACCAUUGAUGCAUCAUAAUUCAAAACACAGGAAACUUGUUGAGCAAGAUUUGUUGAAGUCAGCAUUUUCAAUAGAUGCUGAAAACACCAGUCACAUGGAUGCUGGAGUUAAGAAUUGCCUUUCAGAAAAUGGUUUUGAUUGGGGGAGGGGGGGACUGUUUCCUACUGUUUGGGUUUCCAUGUAAAUAAUAUUUCUCUGCAUAAGUUGCAUAAGUGUACUAUAAGCUGAAUGCUACAAUCCCCAUUUUUGUGCUCAAAAACAUUUUCUUUUUUGUUCUUGGAACAUCUAGAUAGGAAUAAUAGUGAGGAAGAAAGAAACAAAUUCUCCCUCACGCUUUCUCUUAGCAUAAUCCUAUCCACAUUUUCUCCAAAGUUUAAUGGAGUUUGGUUCCAGGAAGUAUCUUGGAUAUGGCUGUUCAAUCCCACUGAUAUUGACCACAGACUGCCCAAAGUUUAAUGGAGUUGCGGUUCCAGGAAGGAUCUUGGUUAUGUCUGUUCAAAUCCCAUUGAUAUUGAGCACAGACCACCCUGAGGCCAAAAUUAUAUUAAAUUUCCUCACUGGAGUCAUGGCGGGGACAAGCCGCGGAAGGUAAGAACCCUUUUAACCAAUAAAGACCAAUUGUGCAAAUGAUCAAGAACACAGAGGAGCAGCUACUGGCGCCCAGGAUACUUUUAGCUACAAUCUUUCUCCAUUUGACUAGUUUAUUACAAUAUAACCCUUCAAUAAAUGGGCACCAUGGUGUCUUACCCUCUAUAUCUGCUUCUUUGUAUCUUCCUUGCCUCCUGAGUUUUUCUCCACUUUUAUCUCUUGCUGCUGGCCCCAAUGGCAACAUGACCCCCACGGCCCUCGGAUUGGGACUCCCAUCUUCCCCUCCUCCCUCAUACCACAUCUCCACACCUGUUAACCCCUUACCAACUCCCAUCCCCGUGGCCACCCCGGUUCCCUCCACCUCGGUAUCCACAGAUCCCAAUUAUGCUCAGGUAUAAUAUGGUAUACUUUAUAUGUUUGUUUAAAACGUCUUUUGGAGAACUCAGCCACCGAUCAAGACAUUGGUGACCUUUCGCCAGCACCUCUUGAUCCUGGAACUCCCUCCAGCUGUUUUCCUGGGCAUCAUCUAAACACAAAGGAUUCAAGCACCCAUUAUUUGUGGGACCAAUCCAUCUCUAUUGGCUCCCAUAACCCCGACUGUGCAGAGGACCCCAGGAUGCAGAGGACGCUGGCGGCCCUUUGUACAGUCACUUGGACAUAAUGGAAACAUUGAUCACCUUGCACAACUGCCUUGACACUGGGAGGUCGUUCCCUGUCUUUCCACAAUGACACUUCCCUUUCCCCAGCAAUGGAUAUCAUGAU